rnacentral:rRNA from 1 species
CACGUGUAGCAGUGAAAUGCGUAGAGAUGUGGAGGAAUACCGAUGGCGAAGGCAGCCCCCUGGGAUAACACUGACGUUCAUGCCCGAAAGCGUGGGUAGCAAACAGGAUUAGAUACCCUGGUAGUNCACGCCCUAAACGAUGUCGAUAGCUGUUGGGCAGCAUGACUGCUUAGUAGCGAAGCUAACGCGUGAAAUCGACCGCCUGGGGAGUACGGUCGCAAGAUUAAAACUCAAAGGAAUUGACGGGGACCCGCACAAGCGGUGGAUGAUGUGGAUUAAUCCGAUGCAACGCGAAGAACCUUACUUGGUCUUGACGUGUACGGAACCCUCCAGAGACGGAGGGGUGCCUUCGGGAGCCGUAACACAGGUGCUGCAUGGCUGACGUCAGCUCGUGUCGUGAGAUGUUGGGUUAAGUCCCGCAACGAGCGCAACCCUUGUCAUUAGUUGCCAUCAUUAAGUUGGGCACUCUAAUGAGACUGCCGGUGACAAGCCGGAGGAAGGUGGGGAUGACGUCAAGUCCUCAUGGCCCUUAUGACCAGGGCUUCACGCGUCAUACAAUGGUCGGUACAGAGGGUAGCCAAGCCGCGAGGUGGAGCCAAUCUCACAAAACCGAUCGUAGUCCGGAUUGCACUCUGCAACUCGAGUGCAUGAAGUCGGAAUCGCUAGUAAUCGCAGGUCAGCAUACUGCGGUGAAUACGUUCCCGGGUCUUGUACACACCGCCCGUCACACCAUGGGAGUGGGGGAUACCAGAA